GCUGUAAUUGCAUACACGUCUAAUUACUAAGUACGGUAUUAAAUCAACAUUAAAAUAGAUGUAAACAUGAACUUUUGACUUUGUAAUAAACAUAACAUGUUACUUAUGCUGAUUAGGGUCGCUUUCUAAACCACAUAACAAGAAUUUAAACCACUGCACACUGGCGAUUUCAUAGGCCAAAAAUAAAAAUUUGAAAUUUACCAAUGCUUAUAUCAAAGCUAUUUCUUAAAACAUCAAUAAAACUAACGGUAAUAACGAGAGACAGGUGUAAAAAAUCGCGCAUCCUGGUGUCAUUGAUCCUGACUCUCCUGGUGGUCUGAAAAAAAAAAAAUCAAAAGAAAGUAAGGAUGCUUAUAGUCCCUACCUCAGGGAACUCGAAAUUUUUUUUUUUUAAAUGGCGACUGCCUGAAAAUAAAAAUCAUUUUUAACGCUUUUUUUGAAAUUCCUGAAUUUUUUUAAAAUAUUAAAAACAAAGGAUUAAGGAUUAUAUAAAGAUAAAGGAUUAUAUAAACAAGGUUCACACAAAAUUUCAAGUAAAUCGGUUGUAUAGAACUUGAGAUAAUGCCGGUACCGUGUGGAAAAAACCAGUUUCGGGAAAAACGCGUUUAAAAAGUGAGUCUACCUACCUACCGGGCUAGGUACUGCGACACUAAAGUAACUGUAGCUCUUAAAAUAAUUUUAUACAUAUAUAUAUGUUCUUAAGGGUCUAAAUUUUAAAUAUAUGAAAAAAAAAUCGAAUUUUUCAAAAUUCUAGAGUAGAAUACCUCCUUAAAUUGCAAUAUAAAGUCGUGUUUAAUACCCAUAAAUCGAAACGAGUAUUGAUAAUAAAAGUAUAUGUUAUAUAACAAAGUGGCUUUUAGAUAAUAAUAUGUUGUUUUAUUAUUUUAAAACAUUGUUUUAUAAGUGCCCUCUUGAGUGGUAUGUUUUUCUUUAUACAUCGAUUUAAAGUAUACAAAAAGUUGUCAUCCCUGUCUCGCUCUCAAAUGAAUCAAGUUUGUUUAUAUUAGUUAAUACUUAUUAUCUAAAUCUAUGCUUUUGAUUUCAGCUGCAACUUUCUUUGUUAUUCAUGUCAUUCUACCAGGCAUGCGAUUUUUUGUGUUAAUUUUUAUAAUUUUUUGUAUUUACGUAUAUGUAUAUUCGUGAAUAUUUUAUUGUUUUUUAUAUUUUUUUUUUCAUCAUACAUAUUAUUUGAGCUUUGGUUUUCAUUUUAUCAUUUUCUCACUUUUUAUACGUACUUUUUUUAGGCACAUCAAAUCGGUGUAAACUUUCACGCCUAUAUAUAAUAUUAUAUUUUUGAAUUUUGGUGUUUAGAAAAUGUAUGAAGCAAUAUCAUUUAUCAGCGAAGCAAAUUUAAUAAUGCUUUAGUAUCUACUAAUUAGAAGCUUCGUUAACAAAAAACUUGAUAUUAACUUUUUACCCUGCUAUGAUAACAUUUUUAAGAAAAAACAGUUAUCCCGAGCAAAUAAAGGACUCAGGAUCUGAUGUUGAAGUUGAGAUAAAAAAAUUAUUGGACCACAUUUCUUCACAAAUGUAAUUAAUGAACGAAAUGAGUCCUCUAAUUACCUAUUAUCAAUGGGAAUAUGUGGCUUUGAUGGCAAUUCUGGUCAGAGCGAAUAUAAGAAGAAUUUUCACACCCUGUAUACCUGAUAAUAAAAUCGCAAAAUGAUGAAGAGCACAAACAAAUUUGGAAAAACUGCAGACCUUCGCCCACCCACUAUUGCUGUCCUGUUUGAAUUCAAUUUCAAAAGGAAUCAGUUUAAUAAACCCUAAUUGUACUAAAUUUGCGCUAGAUCCUGCAAAGGAAUUAGCUUCAAAUUAUUCCUGGUAUUAUCUUCCUUCGACAGUCAUAACAUCGCUCCCGAUGUUAUUCAAUAUGCACCAGGUUCAAUUGGAGAGCUCUCAAAAGAAUCUGCUGAGCCAAGCAAUAAGAUGUAUCAAUUUCACCAUACACGAAAGAUCUAACGGAUCGCUACAAAUCAGGGCUUGCUAAACCGAUUGCUUUUGAGCUUAGAUCAUCACCAGUCAAAGAAACUACCAUGCAAAAGUAAAUCAAUUUUAUUAAAAUCAGUUUUUGGUUUAGUUGAAUAAUAUUCAAAAAAUUCCUUUUUUCGUUUAUCAACUUUUUUAAUUUAAUAUAAUUAAUUAAAAUUUGUUACCAUCGGGGGGUGGCGGAGUGGAAAAAGUUUUGGCAAAAGUUUCACUUUUAUAUAGGCAGUGGAAGUAUUUUUGGCCGCUGAUUCCAUACAAGACCGACCACUGUGCACUGGAAUAAUUUGGAAUAGUUGGCAAUAAGAACAGAAAUUAUCAACAACAUUUCGCACUCAGUAAACAAAACAUGAUUUUGCUAACCUAACAGUUGUAUGUAUCACCUAAAACUAAUCGAGACAGAUUAGGUUAUAUCUUUAUAUAUACAAGAAAGUCGUGUUAGUUCCACUAUAUAUAACUCAAAAAUAGCUAACUUGAUUUGGCUGAAAUUUAUGGGUAGAUGGCUUAUAACAUAGGACAUAAGAUACUUUUUAUGUCUUUAUUUUAAUAAUCAAUACAAUUCAUAAAUACGAAAACUAUAUUUUAAAUCAUGAAUAUGUGUUUAAACUUUAUGUAAAAACUAUUUAAAUAUUUUUUUACUUAAAAAAAAUAAAAUAAAUAACAACACAUAACGGCUUCAAAAGUAUAUUAAUUUUCGUAUACAUAUUAUAUAUGGUUUAUACUGAUAGUUACUAUUAAACAACACGAAUUUUUUGCACCAUGUGGAACCGGUAAGACAUUUCUAAUAUACACUUAACAUUAAAAAAUAACAGAAUUGUUGCAGUGUUGAGAAAAAGUUCAAUCAUAGUUUUAUAUCACAACUGUGUGGUGAUUGCGGGCAGUACACUCAUUCUUCGCUUUUCUUAAGUCAAUGAUGAAAUGUUGAAACACUUAAUUGACCAUUAAUAUGCCCGAACAGUGGCAAACUGAUCCACGCUCAGAAAUAUUGCAUUUGCUAGAUACUCGAAAUAUUUUUUUAAUGAAAAUGAAAACGUUAAUUAUCGAGAUAUACCGAAAUCCAUCCCAAUUAAUAAUUACUUAAAAGCCUUAUGAACCUAAAGGUAUUACCUAGGCUGUAAUCCUUGAAAGUUGCAAAAGUAUGAACUAUUCGGUUAUUUCCGAACAUAGCCUUCUUUACUUGCUAAAUAUAAAGUUUCGCCAGCACCUAAAAGAAUUUCACUUUUAUAUCCGAACUUAGGCCUUCUUUACUUGUUUUAUAUUUAUUUUAAUUACGAAUGUACCAACAUACGAUAUGACAAUAUCGUUAGCUAUAAUAGUAUAAGCGCACACUCGAAAAUAUGGACUAAUUGCGAAAUGUUCACGUUUCAAAUACCCAAAAAUAAUUAGUUAAUAUAAGUUUGUUUACACCUUUAAACUCACUUAAAUUAAAAUUUUAUUAUAGUUUCGUAAACAUAUAAAUUUGUACUUAACGGAUAUGAUAGGAAAUGUAAGUUUGAGAAAAUCUUUAUUUAAAAAGAAAAAAACCGUAAUCUUUUUGUAUUUUCUUGUUUUCUAAUAAUUGAAAUACAGCUUUCUCCAUUAGGCGCCUCAGUUCACGUUUUGCUCCAGUGAAGAAGAUCGCUUGUGUUGCUCAUGAUCGAAAUUCGGCUUCCCAUUCUUCUUUAAAAGUCCUCAACGGAAUACUAUCUUCAGAAUCAUUAUUGUUUUCGGUAAAAUUUAAAGUAUGUAAAGCAUUUAUCUAGGGUUUCUUCACUGAUAAGACUCCAAGUACCUUGAAGUUUUCAAUAUUACCUUUUUCAUUGAUUAGAGCCAAUCAGAUUUCGUCGCUGCUAUUGAAGCUAGAAGGCUGUUUCUGUAGUGCAGCAUCGUGCUUUUCAUUACGUUCUGAUUGAUUGAUUGAUUGAGGGGAAUAACGUUAGUUGGCAUAAACAUAAACAAUUUUUCCAUCAUUCAUUAACAGUUCAACUUCAUAUGGAUGAGAAAGAGCAUUGUCGAUUAGGAGACGACCUUUAAUUAACAAGUUUCUCUCCUUUAAAAAUGAUGUCACCUUAUAAAUAAUAUGUUUAAGAAAAAUUUUGACAAAAUGCAAAAGGAACUUCUACCUGUGGAACGAAUGAUUCAUGAAACCAUGAAAAUAGACGACGUCAUCCAAGCGAAUUUUAAAUUCUUUUGCUUAAUAAGAACUAACAAUUUUUAAAAUAGAGUGAAUUCUUUGCCUUUCCAAUUCCCAAGAUUUUGAGUUUAUGAGUUGCAGUAGCCUUUGAGCAACACAAAAUAAACCGGAGUCAUCAGCAUGAUAUAACUGAUCCAUCACCACGUCCUAUUCCGUCAUUUUACUCUAACUUUUGCUAUAAGAGGGUUAAUUAGCUGAGGCUGUGAAGACAACUUUUCGACCGAUAUUUGAAGAAGCCGAAUGCGGUAGCUCUGCUUGAAAUUUUGAAACCCUAAAAACCAUCUUCGUUUUUCUUUAAUUUUGUAUGCAGGUUUUGGGCAAGUUCUUAUUUCUCAUUGUCCAUUUUUCCAUUGAUUCUCACGAGCGGACCUACACCAUGCCAAGAAAAUGAUCCCCAAACCAUAUUUCCGCCACCAUGCUUUAUCGUCUUCUGAGUGUACUUAGGAUUAUAUUCUUGGCACUUAGGACGAUAUACACAAAUAUUCUGCCAUCUGGUCCUAUAUUGUUAACCUUUACAAUACAUUUUUCCAAAAAUUUAAGCUUUUCUUUUAAUGAGCUUUGGCGAAGAUCAGUCGUUUUGCUUUUUUUUUUUUUGAACGGAGUGGUUUCUUCCUUGAUAUGCGUCCGAACAAUUUUGACUGAUUCAGACGUUUUCUGACAAGUCUAGAGGAUAUUUCUAGGCCCAAUGAUUGAUUGAUAUCAGCUGCUACCUGCCGUGAUGAUUUAAAUGGAUAAUUUUUGGCGAUACUGUAGCAGCGUCUGUACGCGCAUCCGUUUUACAUGGUCUUGGCUUCCGAAUCCUGCCUUUGACCAAUACUUGGGAAUCCUCCUUACAUGAUUUGAUUGCGUUGUAUACUUUUUUUAAGAAAAAUUUCCAUUAGUUUAGCAAUUUCAGCCUCUUUUUGCCCUUUUUUAUACAUGUUCCAAAUUAUUCCCCUUUCUUCAAUUGUAGUAUGCUUUCCGGAUCCCUUUUUAUAUUAUUUCUUUCACUGAAAUACGUUUAAUUCUUUAUUUUUCAUUAACACAAAAAAUGAUGCCCUUAAAUUAAAGUCUGUGCGAGUACUACUUCUGCGAAGUAAUCUGUGCCAUUUAUGUGUCCACUCAAAUGCAUUGACUACGCGUAAUUGAUAACGGUAAACAAAAAGCAAAACCUAACGGAAUAUUUGGGCAGUAUUCGUACAGUACAACUCUAGUACAUCAGCACCAAAUUGAAUGCAAAAUUUUUACAUUUUAAACAAAUUUAACUUUAACAUUUUUAGCAUUUAUAUGAAACUCUGUUAUUACACGCGGCAACUUUUGUUGCGGCAACUCUUGGUUUAUAGGCGAGGGGGCGACGAGGAGAGGAGAAUCGCGCCGAGUUUCCAGUGUUCAGCAACUCGCUUUAUGUUCUUAUUCGUAACAGUUCGCUGCGACAUUCGUGGCAUUCGUGUUCUUUCUUUCGUAGUACAUAGUUGCAUUUGAGUAUAUUUUUUUUGAAAUUAAUAUUUUGAAUAUAUUUAAAAAAUUUAAUUUCAUCUUUUGGCAAGUAAUUUGCAAAUAUGUAUACAGAUAUACAUAAUACGGGUAUUCGUUUAAACGUAUAAUGUUACCCAUCGCAUAAAUUUAUGCAAAUACGCAGUGUGUUACAUGAACGCACUUUAAAUUCCUUGUGUAAAUGCCACUUAUGUAUUAAACAGCUGUUUGGGUGUCAAAAUAUUAAAAUGCCGAAAGUUAGCGGAAAAACCAAAUUUAUUAAACUUUGGGAAAAAGGACUAUUAUUUGAUUUGUAAAUGUUGGAGCUGUUUGGAAAACAUGACGGUAAUUGUUUUGCGUCAAUGUUAAAUCUUUUAAAGGCGCAUAUAUACAUAAAUAUGUAAAUGAUUUCAGAAAUCCAACGCAAAAAGGAAGAUGAAAUUAUGGAAGACUUUAGCUUUGCAAUGGCAGCUGCUGCAUAUGUUAGAUAUGGAUCUACAUUUGUUCAUCAUUCUGUCCCAAAAUCACCCAACUUUUUAAUAGAUGUAUUACCGCAUUUGGGUGAAAACAGGUUUCGAGAAAUUGUACGAGUCAGCAAAACCACAUUUGAUUUUAUCAUUGAUCUGAUAAAGAAUGACGAAGUGUUCAAUGGUCCACGUUCAUGUAAACAGUUCCCUAUCCAAAUGCAAUUGGCUGUAGUAAUGUACCGACUGGGUUCAUGUGGAGAAGGAGCAACAAUUACUAAAAUUGCUAGUUUGUUUGGUAUUAGCGAUGGUGGAGUAAUACAAGUGAGCUAUUUACAUAUGUAUCGGUUAAAAUUUGUGUUUCAACUGUAUUUUAAAUUUCUCAAUAGGUCAUGACCAACAGAGUAUUUGAUGCAAUUAUUAAAAGGAAAACUCAGUUUCUGUUUUGGCCGAACCCUGUAGAGCGUAGAGCUUUAGUUGUUCAAACACUCAGUGAGCUACCACAUUGUAUUGCCUACGUAGAUGGAACGGAGAUAAAAUUUGCGGAAAAACCCACUGCAGAUUGUGAAGCAUAUUUUUCUCGCAAGCAUAUAUAUUCACUUAAGGCUCAAUAUGUGUGUGACCACAAACUAGUGAUUCGUCAUAUGGUAUUGGGGUAUCCCGGUAGUGUUCACGGCGCUAGGAUAUACAACAAUUGCGAGCUGUCCACAAACGCCACUGAAAUGCUAACAGGAUCAGAGUGGUUAGCUGCAGAUAGUGCAUAUAAAUUAACUUCGACCCUUAUUACUUCUUUUAGAAUAAACGCACCUUGAAUCAACGAAUUCUGUUCAACAGAACGUUCAGCCAGUACCGAAUAAGAAUUGAGCAUUGCUUUGGUUUAUUGAAAGAACGUUUUAAUAGCUUGAAAGAACUCAAAAUUCAAAUAAAGAGUGAUAAUUCGGUAAAUUUUGCAUGCCGGUGGAUAUUAGUUUGUGCGAUAUUGCACAGUAUUGUAUUAAAAGAAAACGACGGUAGUUUUGAUGUUGACGAAGAAAGCAUUAGUGAAAACAGUGAAACCGGCGAGCCUGGGGAUCAAAACUUACCAACAGUUGAAGGUGCAUCUAAGCGCCUUUCAUUGUUAUCACUAAUGGAAACUUAAAAAUAAAGUAUUGAAACUCAUGGGCAGCGGCACCUUCCCAAUUAAGGGAACGGAAAUUCCAGGUGCAUGCUCUCAAAUAGUCAUUAUUUCGUUUGCCAUGGUCGUCAUCAAAAGGGGGGUCUCUCAUCCGAGGCUGUGUUUGCUUUUUCAUUGGGAGUGUUUUUUCACGUGGCGGGUCCCAAACCCAGCGCACAACCCUAAGUAGGGGAUAUUUCGCCUUCUCACUUUAGCUCGCCUUCAAACGGAUGUUCUUAGGCUACCCAGACGAUACUUGGUCAAAGACCGGAAGUCGUGAGCUGCUUGAGUCAUAUGUAAAAGAAUCGUUUCUGGCCACUCCCAAGUGAAUGGCGAUCACAUGCGUGAACUUCUACACAUGACUCCAUCCUCCUUUACAUAUCUUUAAAAUCCAUUAAUAUAUGCUUUUAUUUACAAGAAAAAUAAAAAGUGCUUCUGUGCCUAUUAACAUUUAGUUACAUUCAAAUAUACGUAUUUUGCUAUGAGAUCUUUUAAAUUUGCGAAAAAAGUACCAUGUGAAAUCUCUUAAAGUUUCACAUUUAUUUGGAUUUUAACUUUAACUCUAUUUCAAACAUUUUAAUGCGUUCUUCACUAGCAAGUUUCAGUUUUUCAAUUUCCAGUUUGGUUUCUUUUUCUGAUUCAGUUUCAAUUCUUUUCAUUUCUAAUUGAUUAUUCAGUUCAAUUCUUUUCAACUCGACCUCAUUCUUUUCUUUUUCUUUUUCUAAUUCUAUUUUCUUAACUUCUAAUUCCAACCUUUUCUCCUGAAUAAAAAUCAAUAAAUUCGAGUUAAAACAAACAUAUGUACCUAAUCAUUUUCACUUUUCUAAAACCCUUACCUCAAAAUAUUCUGGACUAUCUUUAAUUUUCGGAUACUGCUUGCAACAGCUGCAGGGACUGCGAGUCUGUCCAGCGAUGGGACGGUUUCAGCCGUAGGCGCUUUUGCUUUAACUUUUUAUCCUGAAAUAUAAAACAAUUGCAGCAAUUAAAUAAAAUUUAUGUUCCGAGUUUCAUUCUUACCUUUUCCAUUUUGAUUUUCACAAUAAUAUUCAUCAGCUGGUCGUUCGGAAGGGUUGCUUUUGCAAUAUCGUAAAUUUGCAAGCGUUCUUUACACACUGACAUUGGUGCGUAAUGUGUUUAAAUGAAUUUCCAUAUAAGUUGCUGCCAGAUUUUUACGCGUUCGUAAAUAUACACGGUUUAAGAGGUUUACGGGGCUUUUACACGUUUAAACGAAUACCCUUAAUAUAAUAUAAAUAUUUUAGAAAAUGGAGUAUGACGAAAAAAUCGAAUUAAUUAAAGAUAUUGUGAAAUGUAUGGAGAAAGCCAUAGAAAUUGAUUCAGACGAUAGUGAAAAGGGUGAUAUAUGUGCAAGUCUGUCAUAUAAUCUUUGUUUUAAUUUUUAAUUAUAAAUAAAAAUGUAUUUCUUAAUUGACAGAACUGAUUAAUAUAUGUGAUAGAGUGGCCCAAAUACCUAUAAGGAAGAAGAAACGACAAUGGGUUAAAGUAAAGGGAAAGAGAAUGAGAAAAAAACUCGAACAGAGUUGCGCAACACAAGUUGCUCGUGUGAAGGUAAUGGGCGACAGCAAAAGAGAAUCGCCCGAGAAUUAGCAAUUUUUGUUGCCGCGUGUAAUAAUACACAAAUGAAACUUUGUUCCAUUUACAUGUAUGUGUGUGUACAUAAAUUUAGUUAAGGAGUAUUUCAAAAAAUCGAUUUUUUUUGGUUGCUUUAUUAAAUUUUACAAUACCUCUAGAAUAUUGUCCUAGAUUUUAAAGUUGAUCUGAGUAAUAAUUUCGGAGACAGUCUUGAGAACUUGUGCGCUUGAGGCUAGCUGCGCUAAGUGCCCCAUCUUUAAACGUGUUUUUCUCGAAACUGAAAUCCGUGGACACGAUUUCUCGAAAAUUUAUCGACCGAUUUAGUUCGUAUUGUGUACAUGUUUUUAAAAUAAUAUUAUCUAGUUAUUGAACGAAGGAUUUUUUCUUGUUUCAUUACAACUUAUUUUUUUUUUUUACCAAUUAAUGGCGAAAAUUUUACUAAAAAAUGAGAUUUUUUGUUGAAAGUCUGAUAAAAAAGGGAAACUUUUAAUAUAUUUUUAUUUCCUACGCUCAAAAAUAAGAUUUAGAUAUGUACCAAUGGAAUUUGCUUAGUUUUUGAAGUUAUACUUCUUAUACGACGCCAGAAAAGGUUGCGAUAGAUUCUGAUUGCGCAACUUUCCAUAUAAAAGUAACGCAAGGUUGCGCAACCUCGCUCUAUCCAUAUGAAUGUAACGCAACCUUGUCUGCGAAGAUGUGCGAGCAGCAAGUGAAGCGGUGACAAUCGGCGAUCGUUUGUUCGUUUCUUUAAACAAUCUUUUCUUAAACAAAAUUCAUACUUAAACAAAAUUCAUACUAACAAAAUCAUACUUAAGUCAGCGCAACCUAAGUGUCAAUGGUGGUGUUGGUGGUAAGCGCCUAGAAUGUCUCGGUGUGAACACUGGUUCGAAUCUCAACAGGAUUUAUUUUUAAUUUUCUGCUUUUUAACAUCGUAUACUAUACUAAUAAAUAUUUUUCUUACUAAUAGAAAUUAAAUUUAUCACAGCAAUAUUAUGUAUAUGUAUAUACAUAUUAUGUAUAUGUAUAUUGCUGUGAUAAAUUUAUUGCGAAAGCAAAUGUUCCACAAAUGUAUAUGUAUAUUCUAUACUUAAACAAAAUUAUUAGAACCAUCUUAUGUUUCUUGCAUGCAUAACCAAAUCAUACUUAAGUCAGCGCAACCUAAGUGUCAAUGGUGGUGUUGGUGGUAAGCGCCUAGAAUGUCACGAUGUGAACACUGGUUCGAAUCUCAACAGAAUUUAUUUUUAAUUUUUUUUUUAAAUUUUUUGCUUUUUAACAUCGUAUACUAUACUAAUAAAUAUUUUUUUUUCUUACUAAUAGAAAAUAAAUUUAUCACAGCAAUAUACAUAUACAUAAUAUGCAUAUACAUAUACAUAACAUUGGUGUGAUAAAUUUAAUUUCUAUUAGUAAGCAAAAAAUUAAAAAUAAAUUCUGUUGAGAUUGUAGCCCGUGUCUUAAAAGGAGGAAAAACAGUACAAUAUUAUCGUGAAUACCGAGCACGAAAGAAAGCAGAGCGGGAAAAGGAGAAAUUGGAAAUGAUAGCUGGCAGCCAACCGAGGAAGAGGAAAACAGCUGAGGAAUAUCAGAGAGCGCGUAAAAAGAUUCAACGUCUGCUGUUUCAUCAAUCUCUGUGGGAGCAUCUAUAACUACUGAUGAAUCAACGAUCGUCAAUUCACCGAUAAUUGCUGGACUUUCAACGCGUGUUGAUGGAUUACAAAAGAUAUAUGGUUACGCUGCAUAUUCCCUUCCGCAACGAAGAGACAGAACUUCUUUCCGAAUUAAAAUUCCUUCAUUUAGACUUUGCUUUAUAAAAUGUGCAUAAUAAAAUUAUAAAAUGUGAAUUUAAGUUUUCUUUCAUAGAAAAUUUUAUGCAUUUCUGAACACCGCUAAGAAGUAUAACUUCUUGCUUAUAUUAAAAAAAAUCGUAAAAAUACUUUUUUUUUUGUACCUCUGAAACCCACCUAACAUCUUAAAUUAAAUAUAAAUUAUAACUUAAUAUUGAUCCUGCAUUUUAUUGGUAGUUCCAUCGUGAAAGGAACUACUCCGAACAGGUGCAAUAUGCAAAAAAAAAUUCAUUCAUGUCACUCCGAAGAUAUGGAUUUUUUUUUAAAUACACGGCAAAUCGAAAUUUUCAGUGUCCACUUGACGUAGUUUAAUACAUAUGUUUACCUAGGUUUUUUUAUACACUACUAGAAGAUCCGGCCGCGGUAUACAGAGUAGAAAAGAGACAGGGGCAAAUCGGGGUCAGCAAUCCUCAGCAGAGACGAGUGCCUUAAACAAUUAUUUUCAGAUAUUUUUCUCCAACAAUUCACAAAAAUUGUUCCUAUUCGAAUUACUAUAUUUUAUUAGAAUAUUUGCUUGGAAUGUUAUAAAAUAAUGCUUCUCAGUGGUAAAAAUCAAUUGAAAAAUUCAAUUUAUUGAGAUCAGCACCAAUGGUUCUUCAGUAUCUAGCUAUCAUAACUUAUGGUAACGAGCACAUGUAACAUAAACAAAAAAUAUAAAUGAAAUUAAUUUUUUCUCAAAAUUGAUAAAAUAUAAUAUCAAUAAAUUCAUGGAUCAAGGGGCCCCCACCAUACACCCUCGAUCUCAAGGUUUCUCUUUACUAAUAGGUUUUCUCUGGUAGACUAAUAGGCCAUCCUUAAAGGUCUUAAGAUAAAAAAAAGACUUUUUUUGGUAAUUUAUUUAGAAAUAUUGAAUCAUAAGCCGGUAACACAGCUUCCCCCAGAACGUCUUCAGAAAAAAACUUUUAUAAUCAAAUCUUCCCCCCAUCGUUCUCUGAUAAUUUUUUUUUCUUAAACAUUUUUGGCGGCCAUUUAAAUUGAAAACUUUUAUUUUCCACUAAAAAAUUAUGCCAUUUUAGAUGUGGAAAACACUCUUAAUGAAAAAUAAAAGAAUUUCUAUACGAUUACAAUACAAAGUUUGAAAUGAAUCGGUCAAGUAGUUUUGAAAUGACAGUGAACACGGAAUUUGAAAAGGUAGUUUUAAGAAAAACGCGUCUAAAAUUUCUAAAUUUCAAAAUGUGACAAAAAAAUAACCAUAUAUUGUCAGAAGUGAGCUGUAAAAAAGGUAUGAAUAAAAUUACUCAAUCCAUAUUUAAGAAAUAAACUCGCAAAAAAGUAAUUUUUCUACCAUGGAGAAAAAAAUCGAUACCGCUAUAAAAUGUUGCCAAAUAUAUGUAGAAUUUAAAAAUUUUGAAUGAUAAGUAAAGCGUGGCUGCAGUUGAAUACUGCUGUAUGUAUGUAGAUGGGACCGAAAAUCAUUAUUUGAAAUGUACAUUUUUUUUUUCUCUGCAGUUAAUUUAUUUUUAGUGGCUGAGCUAGGGUUGCAUUUUCGCUUCGCAAUGAAAGUCAGGCAAGACUAUAACCUAUAAGUAUUUAAAAGUUGAAAAACAAAAAAAAAAAAUAUUUUUUAAAAUUUUGUCGCACCACUCUUAUGAUUGCUACUUCGUCCCACAAAUGCUGAAUUACAUUAAGAUCGGGGCUUUGUGCAGGCGUUUUGAUAACUUUUGGACAUUUAUAAAGCAAUCAGCUUCUUACAUCAAAUAUAUAAAAAUAAGUUGGGUUUUUUUCUGUUCGCCAUAGUUGACUAAACCGUUACAUGAAAUGAAAAAUGUCCUGAACCGCUUUGAAAAGGAUGGUUUGUAGAAAAAAUCAGAAAAAGUUACUUUUUAACAGACUUACGAGCGUAAAUUAAAAAAAAAAAAUCCAUUAUUUAUUUAUAACAGAGAACGUCAAGUUUGGACAGAUAAUAUGUUAUCAUUUUUAUUUUUUCGAAAAUUUCGAUUUUUAAGACCAAUUAACUGUUGAAUUUUACGCAAAAAUUUAGAAAAAAAUUUCCUGAGGCCGCCAUUUUGUUAAGUUUGAAAAAAAAAAAUCCUUCGAUCAGGCCCGGGUUUAUCUAUUUAUAAAACUAACCUUUUUGUCCGGUUGUUUUUAGAUGAAUCUCCAAGGACUUAUGCUUGUCACCGCAAGUACCUUUUUUUUGGAACAGGGUCAACACAAACAACUAUAACUUUGGAAAUAUAUUUUUUUUUUUGGAAAUUCCAAAAAUUUUUGUUUGGAAAAACUUCAAGUCAAUACAUUCUAUAAUAAUGUCAUAUUACUACUUUUGUAAAAUAACACGAUUUAAUAGCAACAAAAGAAAUACUGAAAACUCUCAUUUUUUCGUGCCUCUGACUAUCCCUAACCACUUAAUAACGCUGAUAAGAGCGAGUAAAUUCUGAUAGGUUCGAGCAAAAUGUACAAUACCAAGUGAAACAGUUCUCCUUUUGGUUUACAUUUAACUGGAUAUCAAAGCAAAUACGAAUUAGAUUUCACUAAAUGAAACUCAACAGAACCCUAAAAGCUACUAAAAUGAGGUUGAGGCCCUUGUGAAGCAAAACAUUUUAUUAUUAAAUUGUACAAACAGAAAAAUGGAUUAAAGAAAUAAUUUUCAUGAGGCAACAUACAUACAUAUAUUUUUAAAGUUUAGAAUUUUGUUAGAAAUAAAAAAGAUAAUUUUAAAAUGGUUUAUACCUGCAACGCAGCCUCCCUACCAGGCAAACACCCCUUGUGAAAAAUGGCAAGUUAAUCAGCAGAUUAAACCGAAAUUUAUAUAUAAAUACGUUUCGAUUUUCACUAUUAAUUUAAAAGAAUAUACUUAUAAGACGGCAACAAAACAAAGAAUUUAACGGAAUAUUGUCGUACGAACGUCAUCCAAACGUAAUAAUAUUGGGAGAUGUUCGCGUCCUGCUUCACAGGUAGCAGUUAGGAAAUUUAGUUGGAAAGUGAUAUUACCGGCAUUGAACUUUGAUCUCUUUGGUUUUGGGAGUUACACCUGAGUCGAAGCAUUUUUGGCGAUUAUACAAACGUUAAUUCAUGUUUCCAAAUAACUUCGUUUGGUGCGACCAAUACCAUUCGUGAUAAUUGCCAACUUUUAAGAAGCAUUAAUUUCGGAUCAUCCACAACAAAUACGAACACUAUUUUCGAUUAUAUUAGCAACGUGUUUUCUUUCGAAUCCAAUGGAAUUGUGGACAACUUUACAUGGACAUUAGCACUAUUGGGCUUACAUUGCCAAAUCGAGGUAUGCAUGAUCUUUUCACUCAGGAAUUAUAACAUGAACAACGUAUGAUCGCUAUGAAUUGAAUUCGUAUGUUCUUAUGUAUUGAAUGUUCAGUAGAAAGUAGUGUAUGAGCCCAUUAUACAAGCAAUUUGUAGUGGAGAUGGUGGAUUGUGUUUUUUUUUUUUUUAUGCGCCUGGAGGUACCGGAAAAACAUUUUUGAUAUCAUUACUGUUAGCAGUGUACGUUCUCUAAAUAAAAUUCCACUGGUACUGGCUUCUACUGAUAUCGCAGCCACUUCGGUGGAUGGUGCUCGAUUCUUCGCUGAUGCUACCUUUGAAUAUGCAAGUUAAUAAAACACCUACAUUCAAUAUAUCAAAAACGUCUGGAACUGCAAAAUUUAUACAACAUGGCUCAUAAGAAGUGGGUAGAACCUUGGGAAAGAACUUUUAAAUAUUUACAAGAAAAUCAAGCUUUGUUUGGUGGCUUUCAAGCUUUAUUAGCUGACUUUAGACAAACGUUACCUGUUAUUCCAUGGUCUACGCCUUCUGAUGAGAUAAACGCUUGCUUAGAAAGUUCACAUUUGUGAAGGUGCUCAGAUGCCAUUGGAUUAGUGUAUAUCAGGGUAUUUAUUUAGCACUUUUUGACACCACUUACCUCGGCACUCAACACUUUCUUUAACCGGCGAAAUGUUUAAUAAAAGAGGCACAAUCGAUUUUGGGUUUUUUCUUUAUUGUUCUUCUUCUUAAUUGGCGUAGACACCGCUUACGCGAUUAUAGCCGAGUUAACAACCGCGCACCAGUCGUUUCUUCUUUUCGCUACGUGGCGCCAAUUGGAUAUUCCAAGCGAAGCCAGGUCCUUCCCCACUUGGUCCUUCCAACGGAAUGGAGGUCUUCCUCUUCCUCUGCUUCCCCCGGCGGGUACAGAAUACUUUCAGAGCUGGAGUGUUUUCGUCCAUUCGGACAACAUGACCUAGCCAGCGUAGCCGCUGUCUUUUAAUUCGCUGAACUCUGUCAAUGUCGUCGUAUAUCUCGUACAGCUCUUCGUUCCAUCGAAUGCGAUAUUCGCCGUGGCCAACGCGCAAAGGACCAUAAAUCUUUCGCAGAACUUUUCUCUCGAAAACUCGCAACGUCGACUCAUCAGAUGUUGUCAUUGUCCAAGCCUCUGUACCAUAUAGCAGACGGGAAUUAUGAGUGACUUAUAGGGUUUGGUUUUUGUUCGUCGAGAGAGGACUUUGCUUCUCAAUUGCCUACUCACUCCGAAGUAGCACCUGUUGGCAAGAAUUAUCCUGCGUUGGAUUUCUAAGCUGACAUUGUUGGUGGUGUUUACGCUGGUUCCAAGAUAGACGAAAUUAUCUACAACUUCAAAGUUAUGACUGUCAACAGUAACGUGAGUGCCAAGUCGCGAGUGCGACAACUGUUUGUUUGAUGACAGGAGAUAUUUCGUCUUGCCCUCGUUCACUGCCAGACCCAUUUGUUUUGCUUCCUUAUUCAAUCUGGAGAAAGCAGAACUAACGGCGCGGGUGUUGAGGCCGAUGAUAUCAAUAUCAUCGGCAUACGCCAGCAGCUGUACACUCUUAUAAAAGAUUGUACCUACUCGAUUAAGUUCUGCAGCUCGAAAUAUUUUCUCCAGCAGUAGAUUGAAGAAAUCGCACGAUAGGGAGUCACCUUGUCUGAAACCUCGUUUGGUAUCGAACAGCUCGGAGAGGUCCUUCCCGAUCCUGACGGAGCUUUUGGUCCCGCUCAACGUCAGUUUACACAUCCGUAUUAGUUUUGCGGGGAUACCAAAUUCAGACAUUGCGGCAUAAAGGCAGCUCCUUUUCGUACUGUCGAAAGCAGCUUUGAAAUCGACGAAGAGGUGAUGUGUGUCGUUUCUCCUUUCACGGGUCGUUUCCAAGAUUUGGCGCACGGUAAAUAUCUGGUCAGUUGUUGUUUUACCAGGUCUAAAGCCACACUGAUAAGGUCCAAUUAGUUUGUUGACGGUGGGCUUUAAUCUUUCACACAAUACGCUCGAUAGAACCUUAUACGCGAUAUUAAGGAGGCUAAUCCCACGGUAGUUGGCGCAGAUUGUGGGGUCUCCUUUUUUAUGGAUUGGGCAUAGCACACUUAAAUUCCAAUCGGUGGGCAUGCUUUCGUCCGACCAUAUUUUACAAAGAAGCUGAUGCAUGCUCCUUAUCAGUUCUUCGCCGCCGUGUUUGAAUAGCUCGGCUGGCAAUCCAUCCGCCCCCGCCGCUUUGUUGUUCUUCAGGCGGGUAAUUGCUAUUCGAACUUCUUGGUCGGGCAAUGGAACGUCUUCUCCAUCGUCAUCGAUUUGGGAAUCGGGUUCGUCUUGUCCUGGCGUUGUGUGUUCACUGCCAUUCAGCAGGCUGGAGAAGUGUUCCCUCCAUAAUUUAAGUAUGCUCUGGGCAUCGGUGACUAGAUCACCUUUGGGGGUUUUACAGGAAUAUGCUCCGGUCUUGAAACCUUCUGUAAGCCGCUGCAUAUUUUCGUAGAAUUUUCGAGCAUUACCCCUGUCGGCCAGCUUAUAAAGCUCUUCGUACUCACGCAUUUCGGCCUCUUUCUUUUUCUCUCUACAAAUGCGUCUUGCUUCCCUCUUCAACUCUCGGUAUCUAUCCCAUCCCGCACGUGUUGUGGUUGAUCGUAACGUUGGGAGGUAGGCAGCCUCUUUUCUCUCCGCUGCGACACGGCACUCAUCGUCGUACCAGCUGUUCUUUUGCAUUUUCCGAAAACCAAUGGUUUCGGUUGCAGCUGUACGUAAGGAGUUUAAAUGCCGUCUCACAGUUCCCUUAUACCGCGUUGUUGACGAGUGCUCUCAGAGAGCAGGAGUGCAAGCCGAGUAGAGAAUCGUUCGGCUGUCUGUUGUGAUUGCGGCUUCUCGACGUCGAACCUUCCUUGUGUUUGUUGGCGUGCGUUUUUUGCUGCGCAGAGGCGGGUGCGAAUCUUAGCUGCAACAAUAUAGUGGUCCGAGUCGAUGUUGGGACCUCGGAGCGCACGCACAUCUAAAACACUGGAGACGUGUCUUCCGUCUAUCACAACAUGAUCGAUCUGGUUGGUAGUUUUUCGAUCCGGGGACAGCCAGGUAACUUGAUGGAUCUUCUUAUGCUGGAAUCUAGUACUACAGAUAACCAUAUUUCGGGCCCCGGCGAAGUCGAUCAGCCUCAACCCAUUUGGGGAUGUUUCCUCGUGGAGGCUGAAUUUACCGACCGUAGUGCCAAAGAUACCUUCUUUGCCCACCCUGGCGUUGAAGUCGCCAAGCACGAUUUUUACAUCGUGGCGGGGGCAUCUCACAUAAGUGCGCUCCAAGCACUCAUAAGAGGCAUCUUUGGUCACAUCGUCCUUCUCCUCCUCGGGGCGUGGGCGCAAAUCAGCGAUAUGUUGAAGAACCUCGCUUUGAUGCGGAUUGUGGCUAGACGUUCAUUCACCGCAGUGAAUGAUAGUACUCGGCGACGGAGUCUCUCUCCUACCACGAAUCCCACACCAAACUUGCGCUCCUUUAUAUGGCCACUGUAGUAAAUGUCACAAGGACCUACUCGUCUCUGUCCUUGGCCCGUCCAUCGCAUUUCUUGGACGGCGGUGAUGUGAGCCUUUGUUUUCACGAGGACAUCAACCAGCUGGGCAGCGGCACCUUCCCAAUUAAGGGACCGGACAUUCCAGGUGCAUGCCCUCAAUUCGUAGUCCUUAUUUCGUUUGCCAUGGUCGUCAUCAAAAGGGGGGUCUCUCAUCCGAGGCUGGUUGUUACUAUUCGCUGGGAUUGUUUUUUUUCGUGGCGGGUCCCAAACCCAGCGCACAACCCUAUUGGGAUAUUUCGCCUUCUCACUUUAGCACGCCUUCAAACGGAUGUUCUUAGGCUACCCAGAGGAUACUUCGUCCAAGACCGGAAGUCGUGAGCUGCUUGAGUCAUAUGUAAAAGAAUCGUUUCUUUUACAGUUCUGCACGUUCUAAUAGGCGACAAAACCUGCUUCACAUAGUAGCGGAGCAGGAGCGCGACACAAAAGGACAUUCAAUCAGGCGCUUGAAUCCGGAAUAUAGAGCUCAGGAGCAGGAGCGCGACAAAAUGGAACGUUCUGUAGAAAGGCAACGAGAUACAGCAUUGAGGAGAAGUUGUCGAGGAGAUCCAAUAAGAAGAUGCCGUGAACAAAUUUUAAAUACCUCUCAAAGAAGAGUGACGCGCCAGCAAUCCAGGCAACAACUUUCAAACGAGCAGGAAUCAACGUUGGAAAGAGUACGAUUCCACAGGUCGGAUAUCGCAAAUAGUCAGUUGGAGAGUGAAAGGCAAGCCGGGAGGAAUAUCAGAAGACGUCGUGAACUUUCUCCUGAUGCACUGCUAGAAGAACAAGCACGUCAACGUUGAGCUGCCAAUAUCUUUGAUAUGUACGCAGUUUUGAUAAAUAAAGGGCCCACUGAAAUAUGCGUGUAUUGUGGGGGCACUUGGUUCUCUCUCAAAUAAAAAAGUUAGAAAAACGUCAGACCUCAUCAAAGUUCACUUACUCGGAAGAUUCUAGAAAAGUUUUUUACUUGUCAUCGAAGUUUCCAUCUUCGGAAAAUAUAAUUUUUGCAGUACCUGCUAUCGGAUUGCCAAACAAGGUAAAAUACCAAAUAUCUGCCUCUCAGAAGGAUUAGAGUUUCCUGAUAUUCCGGAAUGUCUUCAAGAUUUAACGUGUCUGGAGGAAAGGCUAAUAUCUGUUGUAGAAAGUCACAAUGCUGCCACGAACGAUUUUACAACAGCCUUAUUAUUCAAGUACACCUGAAACGUCGCUUGGUAUAUCAGUUAAAUUUUGUGACAGUGCAACCAGCAAAAAUAUUGCAGGCACUGAAUUAUCUGUUGGGUACGGAGCUCUACGUCAAGCGCAACAUUCAAAUGUCAAGUAAUUGGCUGGCAAAUGUAGGAAACGAGGAAACUAUGCCAUUUAUUGCAGAUCCUGCAGAUGAGGUAGCAGUAAGAGACCUGCUUAAUGCCCGUCAGGAAAUGGGAGAGAAAUUAAAUCCAGAUGACCAUGAAACUUUGAUUGACAAUGAAUCUCUUUAAAACACAUCGAUUGAAUGGGUUACAAUGGCACCAGGGCCCAAGGGACGUUACAACCAACGAUAAUGCUCAAAAGUUGUCGUAUCCAACAAUUAACUGAAAGAAGAGGACAACCACAACAACUUAUAGCAAAAUUGCAUUUGCAUUGAAAUAUGACGCUAUGAUCGACGUCGCGUGCGUGUGGACGUGCCUCUGUAUAUUUAUAAGUUCUACGAGUUGGAGUGCAUCAAAAAUGCAAUUUCUAUUUGCUGUGCAAAAAGUCUGGAUCAAGAAAUAUAACUGCUGCAAAUAUAAGGGAUGAAAACUUUGUCAGCAACCUGUCAUGGCAUGUACUGGUUAAACAAUGUACCGCAAUUGGAAAGUGAUGGAAUCAUCAACUGAAAUUGAAACUUUCUUCGAUACAUUACGACUGAUGGGGAUGAUUUGGAUUUACAGGAAUUUAUUCAGUACCAAAAGCACAGGCAUGGUCGAGCUUGCCUAAGAGACCUGCAUGCAAAACAAGUGUGCCGAUUCAACAUACCGUAUCCGACGAUAUCGCGGACAGAAUUUCUUCUUGGAGGUAUUGAGCAACAUAAACUUCAAUUUCUGAAAAUACAAGAACUAUUAACUCUGACGGAUCUUGCAGAAAAAGAAACAAUACGGUUGAACGGCUUUGAAAAUUUGCGGAUGAGCGGAUUAACACUGACUACGAAGGAUACAAGCUUGCUCUUCGCCCAUCCGUAAAAAAGCCACAUUUUUUUAAACAAAAAUGUUCGGACUUCUAAAUGCCUACAAUAAAAAAUAUCCUUAACUUGCAUAGAGCAAAUAUGGAUAUUGAAUUCAUUUUGGACGCUUACGCUUGCUGCAGCUAUAUAAUUAAUUAGAUGGAUAUCAACACUACUGAGGAAAUAAAUGCUAGGAAUUUCUCUAUUAAAAGAAAACUGCAGCACAACAAAUUUGUAAACGGAUCGGAAAUAUCGGCUCAAUAAGUAGCUUAUAAUAUUUUGGGAUUGCAUUUAUCGGAAGCAAGUAUUGGGGAGAUAUUUAUAAAUACAUACAUCACAUCCAAACAAUCGAGUAAGGAAGCUAAAGCCCAGACGGACAUAUGUGUACCAAGUGUACUGGAGCACUAUUCUCAGAGGCCCGAUCAAUUGGAAGAACUAUGCUUAGCAGAUUUUGCAGCAUGGUUCAGAUUUUCCAAAGCAAGUAAGAAUAUUUCAUUGUAGUCUUUAUUAGAGAAGCAAGUACUUAUUCUGCGCUGGAAACGUUUUAGCGUUGAUAUUUCAAGAGCAGAUUUCUUCACCAACGAGCCUGAAUGGAUUCUGGAAAACCCGAGCUGCCUCUCAAAUUUUGGAUCCCGAAUUCGGAGCUCCAGCUGUUCCAAAGCAAGUAUGAGAUGAUAAUGUUUUUCAUGAGGAUAACAAUAAUGUGGAAGAGGCGGUUCGAUUAAUUAAACUACCACCUCUAAUAUUAGAAGAAGAUUUACUGGCAAUGAUACAAUCUCUUAACAACAAGGAGAGGGAAUAUUUUGCUCAAGUAAUGCGCAAUGUCAGUAAGAAGAAAAUCUUCUACGAAUAUGUCGAAGGUGGUGCUGGAGUGGGCAAAACCCGGCGUAUAAUGACUAUAUAUCAGUCGUUGACAUUGCGCGCUAACAGUGUACCAAUGGUUGGUGCAAAGAUGUUUGCGCAUUUAGAUUGUAGGCUUAAGCAAAUUUGUAGGAGCAGUGCUUACUUUGGAGGCAUUCUAAUUGGAGUGUUAGGUGACUUAAAACAGUUGCCAGCAGUAGGAGAUCGAUGGAUAUUUGUGCCAUAUUGGAAUGAUCAUUACAGUGCAAUUACAGAAACCCCGCUUUGGGAUCAAUUUUGAUAUCUCGAGGUCACCGAUAUAAUGCGUCAGCGUGAAGAUCAAGAAUUUGCCAUCGCUUUAAAUAACAUGUCAGAGGGAUAUAUGACGAACGUUGACAUCCAAUUAAUCAAAGGCAGGUCAAAGACCUCUAACGGGAUACCCAACGAAGCCAUACAUCUCUUUUUUUCAAAUGCUGGAGCAAAUAAUUUUAACACAAUAAAACUGGCGAACACGAUGACCGACGAGUUCAUUUCGACUGCGAAGGAUACAAUUAAGUCAAGUUCCUUAACAGAACGCAGCAAGGGAAACAUAUUAGAAGAUGUGAAGGGUUUCAAGCCAUCAGAAACACAAGGAAUGCCUGAUACAUUGCAGCUCAAAACACAAUAUUAAAUAUAUCGUAUCAGUCAACAUAAGCACGAGUGAUGGAUUAGUAAAUGGUGCUAUAGAGUAACUAAUGCAGGUGGAUACCGAAUCGCCUGGACCUGAGGGCACAGUGGUGCGACAAUGGAUGAAAUUCGCAGAAUCAGGGGUUUUAAGCUUUGCACGUACCAAGCAGCCUCAUAGUCGCAAUGCAGAUUGGACACCAAUCAUGAGCGUGGUUCCAAUACAAGCGAGAUGAACAAAUAACUAUAGAACGUAGACAAUUCCCUGUUAUCCCAGCUGAAGCCAUAACGAUACAUAAAAGCCAUGGUGGAACAUACGCUCAAGUUGCGGUUCAUAUAGAGGGUAGAGAUAGCAGGUCAGCUUCAUUUUUAAAACUUAAUUUAAUAGAUUGAGGAUAAAAGGGGCGUUGACGACAUGCUGAAGAUUUUUUAGGCGAAAAAUCGGAACAACGCUUGGAUAUUUAUUACCAAAAUGUAAGGAGUCUAAACAAGCAUAUCUGUUGAUAUUCUGUGCUUUGCUGAGACUUGGGCUUUAUCUCAAGAAGAAUUUCCAAUAGAGGGCUAUAAUGUUAUUGCACGCCUUGAUGGUCAUCCCGACGACGCCCGGCCAACGGCCUUAUAAUAUACUCUAAGCAAGAUCGGUGCCCAGAUCUAUCAGAAGGAUCAUUCUCAAGAAACGUCACAGGUUCAGCAAACGUUUACCAACUAUUAAACGUAAACAAUUCGACAGUUUUUUUUUAUCACUUGUGUACAGGAACCCCACGCAUAGACCGCCAGAAUUUAGAGAGCAAGUGGUAAAUAAUAACCGUCAAAUAAAUGAGCAGUUUAAUGGACCAUCAGUAGUCCUUGGACACUUUAACAUAUGUCGUCUCACAUCAACUGACGAUUUAGAGGCUCGAUUACAACAGUUGGGAUUUCAAUCUACAGUUGUCCACAAAAUAAUAGGAGUGUCACUAUGGAAAAUGUGUUUGGUUGCAUAACUUUUUUAAAUCACAUGUAAAAGACGCGACACAAUAACGGUACACAUAACGGAGUCUUCUUCUUCUUAAUUUGCGUAGACACCGCUUACGCGAUUAUAGCCAAGUUAACAACCGCACGCCAGUCGUUUCUUCUUUUCGCAACGUGGCGCCAAUUGGAUAUUCCAUGCGAAGCCAGGUCCUUCUCCACUUGGUCCUUCCAACGGAGUGGAGGUCUUCCUCUUCCUCUGCUUCCCGCGGCGGGUACUGCGUCGAAUACUUUCAGAGCUGGAGUGUUUUCGUCCAUCCGGACAACAUGACCUAGCCAGCGUAGCCGCUGUCUUUUAAUUCGCUGAACUAUGUCAAUGCCGUCGUAUAUCUCGUACAGCUCAUCGUCCCAUCGAAUGCGAUAUUCGCCGUGGCCAACGCGCAAAGGACCAUAAAUCUUUCGCAGAACUUUUCUCUGGAAAACUCGCAACGUCGACUCAUCCGUUGUUGACAUCGUCCAAGCCUCUGCACCACAUAGCAGGACAGGAAUUAUGAGUGACUUAUAGAGUUUGGUUUUCGUUUGUCGAGAGAGGACUUUGCUUCUCAAUUGCCUACUUAGUCCGAAGUAGCACCUGUUGGCAAGAGUUAUCUUGUGUUGGAUUUCUAGGCUGACAUUGUUGGUGGUGCUUACGCUGGUUCCAAGAUAGACGAAAUUAUCUACAACUUCAAAGUUAUGACUGUCAACAGUGACGUGAGUGCCAAGUCGCGAGUGCGACGACUGUUUGUUUGAUGACAGGAGAUAUUUCGUCUUGCCCUCGUUCAUUGCCAGACCCAUUUGUUUUGCUCCUUAUUCAGUCUGGAGAAAGCAGAACUAAGGGCGCGGGUGUUGAGGCCGAUGAUAUCAAUAUCAUCGGCAUACGCCAGCAGCUGUACACUCUUAUAAAAGAUUGUACCUGCUCGAUUAAGUUCUGCAGCUCGAACUAUUUUCUCCAGAAGCAGGUUGAAAAAGUCGCACGAUAGGGAGUCACCUUGUCUGAAACCUCGUUUGGUAUCGAACGGCUCGGAGAGGUCCUUCCCGAUUCUGACGGAGCUUUUGGUCCCGCUCAACAGCCGUAUUAGUUUUGCGGGGAUACCAAAUCCAGACAUUGUGGCAUAAAGGCACCUCCUUUUCGUACUGUCGAAAGCAGCUUUAAAAUCGACGAAGAGGUGAUGUGUGUCGAUUCUCCUUUCACGGGUCGUUUCCAAGAUUUGGCGCAUGGUGAAUAUGUGGUCAGUUGUUGAUUUACCAGGUCUAAAGCCACACUGAUAAGGUCCAAUCAGUUUGUUGACGGUGGGCUUUAAUCUUUCACACAAUACGCUCGAUAGAACCUUAUACGCGAUAUUAAGGAGGCUAAUCCCACGGUAGUUGGCGCAGAUUGUGGGGUCUCCUUUUUAUGGAUUGGGCAUAGCACAGUUAAAUUCCAAUCGUUGGGCAUGCUUUCGUCCGACCAUAUUUUCCAAAGAAGUUGAUGCAUGCUCCUUAUCAGUUCUUCGCCGCCGUGUUUGAAUAGCUCGGCCGGCAAUCCAUCGGCCCCUGCUGCUUCGUUGUUUUUCAGGCGGGCAAUUGCUACUCCAACUUCUUCAUGGUCGGGCAAUGGAACGUCUGCUCCAUCGUCAUCGAUUGGGGUAUCGGGUUCGCCUUCUCCUGGUGUUGUGCAUUUACUGCCAUUCAGCAGGCUGGAGAAGUGUUCCCUCCAUAAUUUAAGUAUGCAUCUGUGGCUAGAUCACAUUGGGGGGUUCAAAAAGAGUAUGCUCCGGUCUUGAAACCUUCUGUAAGUCGCCGCACCUUUUCGUUGAAUUUUCGAGCAUUACCCCUGUCGGCCAGCUUAUCGAGCUGUUCGUACUCACGCAUUUCGGCCUCUUUCUUCUUCUGUCUGCAAAUGCGUCUCGCUUCCCUCUUCAACUCUCGGUAUCUGUCCCAUCCCGCACGUGUUGUGGUCGAUCGAAACGUAACGAGGUAGGCAGCCUGGUUUCUCUCCGCUGCGACACGGCACUCCUCGUCGUACCAGCUGUUCUUUUGCACUUUCCGAAAACCAAUGGUUUCGGUUGCAGCUGUUUGUAGGAGUUUGAAAUGCCGUCCCACAGUUCCCUUAUACCGAGUUGUUGACGAGUGCUCUCAGAGAGCAGGAGUGCAAGCCGAGUAGAAAAUCGUUCGGCUGUCUGUUGUGAUUGCAGCUUAUCGACGUCGAACCUUCCUUGUGUUUGUUGGCGUGCGUUUUUUGCUGCACAGAAGCGGGUGCGAAUCUUGGCUUCGGCAAAAAGCGGUCCGAGUCGAUGUUAGGACCUCGGUGCGCACGCACAUCUAAAACAUUGGAGACGUGUCUUCCGUCUAUCACAACAUGAUCGAUCUGGUUGGUAGUUUUUCGAUCCGGAGACAGCCCGGUAGCUUGAUGUAUCUUCUUAUGCUGGAAUCUAGUACUACAGAUAACCAUAUUUCGGGCCCCGGCGAAGUCGAUCAGCCUCAACCCAUUUGGGGAUGUUUCCUCGUGGAUGCUGAAUUUACCGACCGUAGUGCCAAAGAUACCUUCUUUGCCCACCCUGGCGUUGAAGUCGCCAAGCACGAUCUUGACAUCGUGGCGGGGGCAUCUCUCAUAAGUGCGCUCCAAGCACUCAUAAAUGGCUUUGGUCACAUCGUCCUUCUCUUCCGUCGGGGCGUGGGCGCAAACCAGCGAUAUGUUGAAGAACCUCGCUUUGAUUCGGACUGUGGCUAGACGUUCAUUCACCGCAGUGAAUGAUAGUACUCGGCGACGGAGUCUCUCUCCCACCACGAAUCCCACACCAAACCUGCGCUCCUUUUUAUGGCCACUGUAGGAAAUGUCACAAGGACCUACUCGUCUCUGUCCUUGUCCCGUCCAUCGCAUUUCGUGGACGGCGGUGAUGUCAGCCUUUGUUUUCACGAGGACAUCAACCAGCUGGGCAGUGGCUCCUUCCCAGUUAAGGGACCGGACAUUCCAGGUGCAUGCCCUCAAUUCGUAGUCCUUACUUCGUUUGCCAUGGUCGUCAUCAAAAGGGGGGUCUCUCAUCCGAGGCUGGUUAUAACUAUUCACUGGGGGUGUUUUUUUACGUGGCGGGUCCCAAACCCAGCGCACCACUCUAUGCAGGGGAUGUUUCGCCUUCUCACUUUAACUCGCCUUCAAACGGAUGUUCUUAGGCUACGUAGAGGAUACUUGGUCAAAGCUUGAGUCACAUGUAAAAGAAUCGUUUCUGGCCACUCCCAAGUGAAUGGCAAUCAGAGAACUUUCCUCACUUGCGUGAACUUCUACACAUGACUCCAUCCUCCACACAUAACGGAGUACUAGCAUUAAAAUACAAAACAAAUUUUUAUUGUGAUGAUUGCUAUUCUACUUCUGCUUUGUGAAUUCUUGUAGCGACUUGUUAUUGCUUUCCACAUAAUAAUAGGAGUGUUAGAUAUUUCGUUUUCAAAAUAGUGCUUAACAUAAAAAAUAUUCCAAAAUCACAAAAGUAAGUAUAGUUCUAUAAUCUAGCAGAAAUUUAAAUUAGUUAUUGUUUGAUUUAAUCAUUGGGAUUUUCGCCAGUGGGUAGAGGAAAUCAUUGUACAGAGGAAAAGCGGAAAACGACAAAAAAAUUGAGAAAACUAGGAAAAAUUGAUCAAGAGAUCCAAGAAAUCGUAAAAUGCUCUCCUCAAAUGAUAGCAAAUGCCUUAAAUUAUAGAAACAAAAAUCGCAAUAUAGUACGCUACUGCAAAAUUUAUCCUUUUGCUUCAGCCAGGAGCAUCCACGAUGAUCUAAAUUUGUCAGUUAAUACUGAAACUGUUCGUAGGCAUUGGAGCAGAGCAAAUUAUUUGCCAGAAGACCACGAAAAAGACCCUCAGUAAUAAAGAAGCAUAAGGAAGCCCGCAUACAAUUUGCUAAAGAGCAUGGCUCCUGACCCGCGUCUAAAUGGCGAAACAUAUUGUGUUCAGACGAAUCCAAAGUUGAGUUAUUUGGUAGUACAGGCUCUAGAAACUUUGUCCGUCGGCUCCCUAACUCAGAUUAUAAUCCCCGGUUUACCAAAAAAACCGUUAUACAUAACGAUGCCAAAUCAUGGUACGCGGUCGUUUUUCACGUUGUGAUGUUGGUCCAAUCCACUUACUUGAAGGCAUCAUUGAUCAAAGUGUGUCAAAAUAUUAUAUGAGGUAAUGUUAACACAUGGCUUAUGGAAUAUGCCAUUGAUCUGGGUAUAUCAACGGGAUAAUGACCCUAAAUAUACUAGCAAGUGCGCAAAAAAUGUUUUAGGGCCAACGGAGUUGAGGUUAUGUGGAGACCUGCUCAGUCUCCUGACCUCAACUCCAUUGAAAACCUGUGGACAGAUAACAAGAAAAAAGUAGCUGAAGAGAAACCAACCAAUUCGAGAGAUUUAUGGCAGGUAGUGAAAGAGACUUGGAAAGGAAUACCAAUAAAACAUUGUCAGGAUCUCAUAGACUCCAUGCCUCGGAGAUGUGAUGUGUUAAAAAACUGGAAGUUAUUCAACGAAAUAUUAAUUAUUUUAAUAUUUUUUUGUGGAACCAGUUUUUUAAUUUACUUGAUAUAAACAGCAAUAUAAAAUUUUGUUUAUGUUUAAUUGAAAUAUAUGAAAUCUGAAGAUAUUAAUAGAUUUUUAACAAAUUGCGUUGUGCAAAAAUUUAAAAAUUUUGACAAAAAAAAAAACAUUUUUGUUAAAAAUUCGUUUUUCUCAUGUACAUUGGACAACGCCGCCACAACAAAAUAGCAAACAGCAAUAGAUUGGGUAUGGACAAACAUGGAUCUAGCAAUGACCUCAUGUAUCACAUAUGAAACUCCAUAUAGUGAUCAUGAUGGAAUAGUUUUAAGUUUUAGAAAGUAGAUAUGUUAUAUAUUUAGAUAUAUGUUAGAUUCAAUAUUAAUACAGUUUGGUAUAAUAAUAUUAGGUGUAAGUCAUAGACAUGAGUAAUUAGGCUGUUCACGAUAAGGUGGUUAUCGGGUUAUGUGAUUAAGUAAACAACAACAAAAUGCGUUGUGACAAAAUAACCAAAGUUGACCAACCUAGGCCCUUGUUUACAGAUUAUGUGGUUGUUUGCUUAUUUUCAGUGUUAGAAAGUCGUUGGAAUUUUACUAAAUGGCAGCACAAAAAAUAAAUAAAACUAAGCGAAUGGCAUUUCCAUUUAGAUUUUCUUAUUGGAAAAUCUGCUAUUAACAGCUGUUUUUUGUUUACAAUCAGCAAAUUAUGCAAGAUGUCUGCAAAUUUUAUACAAAGAAUUUUUUGAACCCUUAAAAUUCGGAUUAUUUAAUAAGCACAUACCUUCAAUAAAGUCCAUUUCCUGAAUAGCAGAACUUAUUUUAAAUUCGAUUAUUUUGCUUUUUAAACUUUGUUUAGGCAUUUUAUAAGUUGGAAUUUCGUUGAACUAAAAUUGUAAACAAUGAACAGCUGUUUGUGUAAAAAUAAGCAAAUAACCAUACAACAUAGGGUGCUCACGGAGCAUAGAGGUUAUUUUUAAUCUAAUAAUCACAUAACCCGAUAACCACCUUACCGUGAACAGCCUAAAUGUAAUUUAUAUAGCAUAAAUAUGUAUUAUAGAAAUAUAAAUAUAUAUUACAUUUUCUCUGUGUUUUUAUAAAGCAAACUGUAAAUAUAUAUAUGAUAUAUAUGCAAUAAUAAAUAAAUAUUAUAAUAUUUUCAUUAAGUUUAUGUUAAUAUUAAAUCUUCUUAGAAUUUAAAAAACUAUAAACGUCUAAAAGAUCUAUUUUCUUUAUUAACAUCUUGGCUAAAAAGAACUAGUAAAAUGUUUUCCUUUGGACGAAAACCACUGGCCUUUUACGUCUUUAGAUUUACUUAAACACAUAGUUACUAAAAUAAAUGCACCUGUGAAGGGUAUAUUAGCUUCGGUGCAGCCGAAGUUAACGUUUUUUUUCUUGUUCUGUAAUUAAAACGCCCCUAAAGGGAAGAUUUUGGAGUGCUAGCACGUAUUUGAAUUUUCUCUAACGUUAGCUUAGGCUUGGUUAAAUGGCUGAUGUGUUAGAUUGGCGGAGGAAUCACACAUAGAUUGCCAUUCAGUCCUUUGUGAAGAAUAUGCGCCCUAUCAAAAUUCUGCUAAAUCUCUGAAAUAUUAAUUUUAUGCAUUAAAGUCUAUCAAGUAGCUUAUAAUCUUAUUGCCAACGAAUAAUUAUGGCAUUAAAAUUUUUGUCUGAUGAAGUUUUCUAUCAGGUGGAAGUAACAGGCACGCUUAUAUAAUUGCGAUUGCCACUACUUGUAACACUAAUGAAAAAGCUAAAAAAGUUGCUUAGUUACCAAUAUUAUGCAUCCAUGGGCUUAAAAUGAGUUUUUGAAGACCGAGACAUGUAUUGUAUGUUGGCGGCAAUUGGAUGCAAAAGAAAGGAAUAUCCCAAGAAAAGUUUGGUUUAGAUAUUAUCCAGAUUAUUCCUAUUUUUUCAGAAGAUCAAUUCAAAAAAAAAAUAGAAAAAUAUUCGAGAUCAGUUUCUGAGUAAAUAUAAGAAGAUAGCAAAAUCAGAAAAUGCUGGCAUAAAAGAAGCUCAGUACGAAAGAUAUAGAACACAGAACUGCAGCUAUGCACUGCAAAAAAGAGUACAGCUCAUGCUUACUUGUGUAUUUUUCUUUUUUAUGUAUCCAAAACGUCCAAACAAGUACGUACUUGUGAUUAUUUUUACGUACACACUCAUGUGCCGCCGUUCCGUAAUUACACUCUAUUUCACCUUUGAGCAAAGUUGCCAUUGCGGAAUUUGUAUACAUGGUUUUGUUCACAUCUAACUUCUCAGUUUCUCAUAAUGUAAAAUACCAAACCUAAAAUCCAACUAAAGGGUGAUUUUUUAAGAGCUUGAUAACUUUUUUUUAAAAAAAAACGCAUAAAAUUUGCAAAAUCUCAUCGGUUCUUUAUUUGAAACGUUAGAUUGGUUCAUGACAUUUACUUUUUGAAGAUAAUUUCAUUUAAAUGUUGACCGCGGCUGCGUCUUAGGUGGUCCAUUCGGAAAGUCCAAUUUUGGGCAACUUUUUCGAGCAUUUCGGCCGGAAUAGCCCGAAUUUCUUCGGAAAUGUUGUCUUCCAAAGCUGGAAUAGUUGCUGGCUUAUUUCUGUAGACUUUAGACUUGACGUAGCCCCACAAAAAAUAGU